rnacentral:rRNA from 1 species
AGAAUCAACGCUGGCGGCGUGCCUCAGACAUGCAAGUCGAACGCGAAAGUUCCCUUCGGGGGGCAAGUAGAGUGGCGCACGGGUGAGUAACACGUAGGUAAUCUACCUUUGGAUGGGGAAUAACAACCGGAAACGGUUGCUAAUACCGCAUAAUGCAGCGGCACCUAAUGGUGACAGUUGUUAAAGCGGGGGAUCGAAAGACCUCGCGUCUGAAGAGGAGCCUGCGGCGAUUAGCUAGUUGGUAGGGUAACGGCCUACCAAGGCUACGAUCCGUA